AUUGAACGCUGGCGGAAUGCUUUACACAUGCAAGUCGAACGGCAGCACGGGGCAACCUGGUGGCGAGUGGCGAACGGUGAGUAAUACAUCGGAACGUGCCCAAUCGUGGGGGAUAACGUAGCGAAAGUUACGCUAAUACCGCAUACGAUCUACGGAUGAAAGCGGGGGAUCGCAAGACCUCGCGCGAAUGGAGCGGCCGAUGUCAGAUUAGGUAGUUGGUGGGGUAAAGGCUCACCAAGCCAACGAUCUGUAGCUGGUCUGAGAGGACGACCAGCCACACUGGAACUGAGACACGGUCCAGACUCCUACGGGAGGCAGCAGUGGGGAAUUUUGGACAAUGGGCGCAAGCCUGAUCCAGCCAUUCCGCGUGCAGGAUGAAGGCCUCGGUUGUAACUGCUUUGUAC
rnacentral:rRNA from 1 species